rnacentral:misc_RNA from 1 species
AGUGUCUCUUAUGUGACUUCCAAAUAACAAGUGGCCGAUGUGUUUACUGAAGGUUUAAACAGCAAGAUAUUUCAUACUCUAGUUUGCAAGUUGGGAAUAUGUAACAUAUAUGAUUCAACUUGAGGGGGAGUGUUGGAAAAGUCAAUCCUAUGUAAAUAAUCUAAUUAGAAAAGGACUAGGACUCCUAGUUAAUAAGAGAUUCCUAGCAGUAUAGUAGCACAAAUAUAGAAGAUGUUGUGUGUGUGUGUGU